UUCCUAUCAUAAUAGGUGCAUGAGACAUGAUAACAGAAUAUUCAGACAAAUACAUAACAACAACACCAGAACUUACAAACACAUAUAACAUACAGAAUAUUGCAAUACUGGGCACAGCACACAUCCUAAACAAAACACUUACAAUACAGUAAUCAUCAGAGCAUCACGGCAAAUCACAGCACAUACCCAAGGCACACUGAGCUGCGCUCGGUAGUGAAGUGAAUGCACGCUACAAAAGUAAAACUAUUGAAUAAUAAUAAUAAUAAUAAUAAUAAU